UACCGAGGUCUCAAGCGUUGUUCGGAUUCAUUGGGCGUAAAGGGUGCGUAGGCGGCGCGGUAAGUCGGGUGUGAAAUCUCGGAGCUUAACUCCGAAACUGCAUUCGAUACUGCCGUGCUUGAGGACUGGAGAGGAGACUGGAAUUUACGGUGUAGCGGUGAAAUGCGUAGAUAUCGUAAGGAAGACCAGUGGCGAAGGCGGGUCUCUGGACAGUUACUGACGCUGAGGCACGAAGGCCAGGGGAGCAAACGGG
rnacentral:rRNA from 1 species